UCAAACACCAACACAAGAUGAUUUCACUUCAGUGAAGGGAAUAAACUGACCAGCAUUAAAGCAACAUGAAACCCUUUCAGAAAAGAACACAGUAAAAGUGGAACUUAAAUUCCUCUUUUAAAAUAAAUCAAGAUCAAACGAUUUUACACUUGUAGUUAUGUCUUAAUCCACAUACUUUUGUUAACACAGUAUAUAAAACACAAUUUACUUCUUCAGCAAUCACACACUUUGAGGCAAAUAAAGAAAAACAGCUGAUCUUUCAUUUUUAUUUAUGAAACACCACAUAUCCCUCCAAAAAAGAAACUUGACACUGCAGAAGGCAGUUGGGAUGUACUAAUUGGUCAUGAGUAGUGCACACACACUGAGACACCCGCUGACACAGCAAACUUUCAAACAGAGAAUGUCAGACGUCAAACAACAGUGUGUUCUUGGCUAAAGUCAUUCAGUAAACAACAUCAGUGCAUGAUUAAGGUCAAAUCCAGCUCUUCAAACUGCCACUCAUACACCAACACAACAGCAGCCAUAGCUUACAACAUGCAGUACCAUUUGCUCAUUUCUCCACAGACUGAACAGAACAACCGUUUUAUGGAAAAACACACAAUGUCUGUGUGUGCGUACAAGGUUUCUGUUUUUAAACUGUGGCUGGGGAUGGUGUGAUUGUGGAAGUCUGGCAGGUCUGUAUUCAUAAAUUGAUGGCAGAAGCCAAAUGUGGAGCUACAGACUGACCUCUGAAGCCUUGAGCAGGGAGCCAUAAACAGCUGCUUAAAGGUUACAUAUGUGAGAUUUCUUUCCAACUUCAAUAUGGCAGCAAACAACUAUUUGUAAUGUAAUGAUAGAAUGGAGUGAUGGCAACGUGGGCAGAACAUGAUGGCUGAACCCCUGUGUGUGUGUGUGUGUGUGUGUGUGUUUGAAGUUUCUAAUGGGACGUUCAGACCAAACAUAUGGGGAAUUUUUGGCACUUCUAAAUAACAUACAAGACAAUGCAACGUCUUUAUAAGAUCUGUGACUAUAUGAAUGGAAAAAUAAUAGAUGCUAGAUUGCCGUCUCUGGGCUUUUUCCAAUUAGGGCUGGCAGACUGGGGAGGAACAGCCCAGUUUGAACUGCCCAGAGCUGGUCAGCUUUGGAGGAGAGGGUCGG